AUGUAGCAGAGAGUAUAAUGAGCUUGACAGAAAAACGCAUCUAUAAAACUCUACCUGCUGUAUCAACACAUUCUCACUCCCAACUCGUCACAUACUGACGCUUGGUCAGGAACCCUCGGCGUAAGUUAUUGACGCACAGGGUACCCCUUUAGCGUCACAUUUAGACGUGCAGGGAUUCCCUAUAGAAUCUGUACCUGAGCCUGAAGCGUCAUAUGGAGACGCUGGAGGCUCGUAUAAUUACCAAUAGAUGUCAACGCACUUUUUAAAACCUGAUUUACGCCUAUUAUCGCAGUUUUCUUCUUUUAAAAAUAUGUAAUUUUUAUUUUGUUCAUGAAAAGCGUCUGUAAACUGGGUCGAAACUACUGUAUGAAUAAACUUCGGUCCACGUGACAUCCCUUCACGGUGAGUUUAACGCCGCUCUGCUAUUGGUCAAACUGCAUCAACGGUGAGUUCUCAGAUGAGUUCAACUGUCAACAUUAAAUAGUAUGUUAAUGCUGCAUAAUCUAUUUUUAUUGGAGAUUAGUUGGUGUUUAUAAAUAUGUUAUCAUUUACUUUAUAUUUAAUGAGUGAACAUAUAUUCGGUUGUCCAGUUUAGGUUAACUAUAAAACUAUACUACUAAUAAAACUUUGAUUCAUUCAUAUUAUUUGUUAUUUUUUUACUUUAAAAAAUAUUACAUUUCAAGUACUAAGUUUAAAAAUGUUUUCAGCUGAUCUUUUUUCAUUUUAAAUUAUUCAUUGAAGUUGGGGUCAUUGUAUGUGGCGAUCUAUUUUUUACAGUCUAUGCUCGCUAUCCCAAGGUUCAUUGCGAUCCCAAGGUUCACUGCGGUUUUCCACAAGAUGCAGAAACUUUUGACAUAUGAAUUCAUCUUGACUAAGGAACUCUUCACAGCACUGCACCUGAACAGUCACAACCUCACAGAGCUGCACAACUGCCCCACUCAGAUCAGUGUUGAAGCUGGAACCUCAUCUUGUGUACAGCAAAGGCAGAGCUGAAAAUUCACUGUCUGUCUUGUAUUGUGUGUGGCAAAACCUGGAAUAACACCUGGGAGCCCUCCAGGAAUUCCUGACACUUUACGCCCAAGUCUCCUCAUGCUAACCGGGUUGCAAUAUGACAGUCUAGUCAGCAUAAACACCUGGACUCACCAAGCACACUUUGGUUCUCAGUGUUUUGUAAAAAUUGUUUUUGCUAUUCUUCAGUAAAUACUUGAAUAUGUUUUGAACUUAUUCUACUUUUGAUGUUUAAGUUCAGAAAGUUGUUAUUAUAAACAUAAUUUGCAUUUGUCAUGAACUUGACUUCUUGUUGUUGUGAAAGCUGUUUAUUAUAAUGGCAUUUCCAAAGGCAUCAUUUGAAAAGAUUUUUUGCAGUGCAGUUUUACUUGAGCUUGACAUACCAGAUGUAUGACAUGAAUAAAUAUCACAAAAUAAAUAUAAUAAUGAUAAUACAAAAUAUAAAUUUCCUUCAAUUAUAAUUGUUUUUAAUCAUUUAUAUAUGUAUGGUAAUAUAUUAUUGCAUUAAAAACUGUUAUAAAUAUAUAUAUUUUUGGUUUUUGCAUGUUUGCGUGAUUUUUUUUUUUUGUGGCAUUAUAAAUAAAUUCUAAAUGUUUCAUUAAAAAUGUAUUGUGUUUAUUUGCAUACUCAUUUACAAUGA
rnacentral:lncRNA from 1 species